UUGGUUACCUCUCCAUUCAAGCUCCUCCCCCAGGUUUUGGCCUCGGCAUUCUAGGGCAGCAGCCGAACCAAGCAUUUGGGCUUGCCCUUUGUAGAGGCGAUGUGUCAACCCCAGAUUGCAAAACCUGUGUUGUUGAAGCAGGCAGUGAAAUCCGCAAACGCUGCCCUGACAACAGAGGUGCAAUUAUCUGGUACGAUAACUGUCUUUUGAAGUAUUCAAACACGGAAUUCUUCGGCCAGAUUGAUAACCAGAACAAGUUCUACAUGUACAAUUCGAAUUCUGUGAGCGAUCCCAUUUCAUUCAAUCAGAAGACUAAGCAACUGCUAAGUCAAUUGGCCAAUGAUGCUUAUGCAACUCCCAAACUGUAUGCCACUGGAGAGAUGGAGCUGUAUGGAUCACAGAAACUUUAUGGAUUGACUCAGUGCACAAGGGACAUUUCCAGCGGUGACUGUAAGAAGUGUCUUGACGGUAUAAUUGGUGAGCUUCCAAGCUGCUGUGACGGGAAAGAAGGAGGUAGAGUUGUUGGUGGCAGCUGUAACGUCAGAUAUGAAAUAUACCCUUUUAUUAAUGCUUAAAAUUUGAAAAAAAAAAAAAAAAGAACUUCUGUUACUGAAAAAAUGUGAAAAAUUAAUGGAUCAAUGCGAUGACUGUCGGUCAUCACUGAACAAAUAAAACUUCUGUUACAAUCAUGCAUAUACGAUGCAUCAGCUCCCUAUUUCAAUAUUGUAAUUUUCUCUUCUCUUUUCCAAUCAAAAUUAUGGAGUACAUGGCCAUUCAAGGAAGAGUUUUCUUUUCCCACUAGCUAAGAGACAGUGACCAGAGAAAAGAGCCACUCUUUUUACUCACAACAAAGUAUUGUUGAAAACUUGCCUCUCAUUUGCUCUCCAUCUGCUCGUUGGGCGCCCAGUUUCUUUAAGCUUUGAAUUUAGCAUUGUGUUAAUUGUCCUAGUGAAUUAGUAGGUGAAUAUAUUGUCCUUCUUUCAAUCUUGAAUGUUUGGGUAUCUUAUAUAUGUUGCUAAUCCCAUCCAAUUUGUGAGGCUAUUUAUAAAGUUCUUCAAGGAGUUUAAUAUAAAUUAAUAUGUAUAUUGCAAUAUACCAUUUUUAAGUUUUAGGAGAUAAAUGUUGAUGUGGGUUCAACUUAACAAUAUUAAAUUUAAUUAAGUCAAAUUAACAAUUUAGAUGCUCUAUAAAAGGCUUUAUAUAUAUAUAUAUAUAUAUAUAUAUAAUAGUUUGGAAGUCCCAUAUAAAUUCCCCUAACAUGAAAGUUCAUCAUUUGAUGUUUCACUCCUUAAAGGUCUCAGAAGUUGACUUUGCUAUUGAUCUCCUGCCAUUCUCUAUUCUCUCGAGGAAAUAACCUCUCGAGAACCAAACUAAUUAAAUGCAAUAAAAAAUAAUUUAUGUAAAGUUUUUUUUUAAAUGAAAUCGUAUUUUAGAGGUAUAAAAAAAUUGUAAAUAUUAAUCAAAUUUUAAUAUCAAAUUUAUUGAAUAAUAAAAUUUGAAUUUUGAGCUUGAACAACGUAAUGUCAACAUUGUAUUCUUGCUUAGUGACUUGCAAAAGGAUAUUUAUAUGAAUCAAUCUAAGAGUUUUGAAGUAAAAAUAAAAUAGCACUUAGUUUACAAACCAAAUAAAAGCUUAUAUGGCUUGAAACAAGUUCCGCGACAGUAGUACAAAAAAUUUUAUUCUUUUAUGGUGAGCCAUAGUUAUAAAAGAAUCGUAGCAGAUUCUUUUGUGUAUAUCAAAAAAUUUUUCUGAUGGUAACUUCAAAAUUUUCCGAUGGUAACUUCAUUAUUCUCUUAUUAUAUGUUGAUGAUAUGUUAAUUAUGGGACAAGAUGCUGGUAUAGUUCACAGGUUGAAAAAAUAAUUAUCUAAGUCCCUUGACAUAAAAGAUUUAGGUCUAGUAAAGUAGAUUCUUGGUAUGGACAUUAUCUGAGAUAGAAGAGUUGAAAAGUUGUGGUUGUCAUAAGAAAAGUAUGUUAAACAAGUGUUUAGUAGAUUCAACAUGCAACAUGCUAAAUCAGUUAGCAAUCUACAUGCUAAAUCAGUUAUCAAUCCACUUGCUAACCAUUUUCAUCUGAGUAAAAAAUCUUGUCUAAUGACUAAGGAAGGCGACUAGCUAUGUCUAGCAUUCUUUAUUCUUUUGCAGUCGAUUCUUUGAUGUAUCUUAUGGUUCGCACACAAUUUAACAUUGCUCAUGCAAUUGGUGUAGUGAGCAAAUUUCUUUCUAAUCUAGGAAAUGUUCACUAAGAAGUAGUGAAAUGAAUUUUUAGAUAUUUGAGGGGCACUUCAAAAAUGUGCUUAAGUUAUGGAGUUUCACAACCAUUCUAAAAAGGUUUACUGAUGCUGAUAUGACGAGUGAUCUUGAUGAUAGAAAAUCUAUUUUAGGAUAUUUGUUCACUUUUAUAAGAGAAGUUGUAUCUUGGCAGUCUAAAUUGCAUAAAUGUGUUAUUUAUCUACUACAGAGGCUAAGUAUAUUGCAACAAUCGAAGCAGGUAAAGCAAUGCUUUGGAUGAAACAUUUUUUUUUAAUUGGAGUUGAAUCAGAAAGAGUACAUGAUGUUCUGUGAUAGCUAAAGUACUUUAGAUUUGAGUAAGAAUGCCAUGUACCAUUCUAGAACGAAGCACAUUGAUGUUAGAUAUCACUGUUACAUUCAGUGAUUGAAAAAUAGCAGAUGUUAUUAAAGAAAAUCUAUACUGAAAGGAAUGUAGUAGAUAUAUUAACUAAAAAACUUCUUAGAAAUAAGCUUAAGCUUUGUAGUAACUUGACCAAAAUAGGUUCAUUGGCCAAAGUAAUUCUAAAUAAAAUUGCUUAUGGUGAUGAAUCUCUUCCUAAUAAGACUAAAAGGAGAUUGUUAAGAAAGUGGAGUCCAACCCCAUAGAUUUUUUUACUAUUCAAAGGUAAUGGAUCUUGUGUUUUUAGGCUUCCUUAAGAAAGUCCUAGCUACUUAAUAAAAAGAGGUAAGGUUAUUUUAAGGUGAAAAAAAAAGUGGCACCGCAAACAAGAAAAGAAAAGGGAAAAAGAAGCUAGAAAAGUAGAGAUAAAAGAAAUAAGGGAGAGUUGGUUGAACAGAAGUCGAUCCAUGAUCUGAUUGGGCUGAAAUUUUAUCUACAUGUUAUUAUUCAGAGUUUUACAUUCUAAACGAUAAAAAUCGAGUUUGAAACUCUCUAGAAACAAAUUCAUGGUAUAUUUGUUGAGUCACCUAUUUGGUGAGAUUUCUCAAAUUGUCUUUCUAGUUGUUGAUUAGCUCUAGUUUUAAUUAGAGAGAACUUUGUAUAUCUAUUAUUUGAUAGUGAUGAUUUUUUUGGUGGUCCACGAUUUUUUUCCUCUACACUAAAGGGUUUUUCACGUAAAUCUUGGUGUGUUUUAUUUUUUCUACAUUGUUAAUUAUUAAUUGUUGUCUAUUACUAUAUAUUUAUUGUAAUAUAUUGCUUUUGUAUUGUUAUAUUUAUUGCUUCAAGCCCAACACAAUUAUCUAGUAUGAUAAUUAUCUUUUGAAGUAUUCAAAGACAUAAUUCUUUGGCUAGAUUGAUAACCAGAACAAGUUUUACAUGUUGAACUCAAAUUCUAUGAGCGAUCCCGUUUCAUUCAAUUAGAAGACUAAGGAACUACUAAGUCAAUUGGCGAAUAAAGCUUAUGCAACUCUCAAACUGUAUGCCGCUAGAGAGAUGGAGUUGUAUGGAUCACAAAAAUUUUCUGGAUUGACUCAGUGCACAAGGGACAUUUCCAGCGGUGAUUAUAAGAAGUGUCUUGACGAUUUAAUUGGUGAGUUUCCAAGCUGUGGUGUUGGCAAAAAAGGAGGUAGACUUAUUGGUAGCAGUUGUAACUUUAGAUAUGAAAUAUACCCUUUUGUUAAUGCUUAAACAUUUGAAAAAAAAAUUUUGUUACUGAAAAAAUGUGAAAAAUUAAUGGAUCAAUGCAAUGACUGUCGAUCAUCACUGAAUAAAUAAAACUUCUGUUAUAAUCAUGCAUAAAUGAUCAUCAGUUUCCUAUUUCAACAUUGUAAUUUUCUCCUCUUUUCCAAUCAAAAUUAUAGAGUACAUGGCCAUUCAAGGAAGAGUUUUAUUUUCCUACUAGCUGCAAGACAGUGAAUAAAAAAAAAAACCACUCUUUUUACACACAACAAAGUAUUGUUGAAAACUUGCCUCUCAUUUGCUUUCCAUCUGGUCAUUGGGUGCCUAGUUUCUUUAAGUUGAAAUAUCAUUUUAGGUCAAAUAAACCUUCUACCUUUCUUCUGUUGGGAUUUUUUAAGUAAAACAAUUUUUACAAUGAGAUCAAUAUGAAACAAAACACAUGAAAAUGGCAAUAUUUAAUGUGGUUCAGCCCAAUUGGUUGCAUUUACGAAUGAAAGAAAAAAUUCACUAUAAACAUAGAAAUUACAAAAUACAAAACACCAUAAACAAACACUAAUAUCAAGCUUUUGAAACAAUCCUAGUUUCCAUUCUCCCUAAUGUAUAACUUAUGCGCUAGUGGUUUUUUGAACAAUUUCUUUUCACAUCCCUACAAAGUUAUCUUCAUAUAGAGAUCUCAUAACUCUCUCAUAAUUAUAAAAGUUAAUACUUACUCUAUAUUUAUUAAGCUUUAAGCUCCAUUACUUGAUCAACAAGAAUUUUUAUUAAUUAAAAGCUCUUACUCAUUAAGAAUAUUUAUCCUUAAAUAAACUCAAUUACCAUGUAAUUCUUUAACUAAUAGAAUUUCACUGGAAUUCAAACUAAUUCCUAAUUAGAAUUUGAGUCAAUAUCUAACAAGUCUCCAUUUUAACACAAAUUCUACCACAAUAUUGACCUUCAAGAAAUUUCAACUCAUAUAGUUGAAUCAAUGCUAUCUCCACUUGAUUCACAUAAGUGGUUAAUACUUAUAUACAGCCAAAUCAACUUCACCCGAUUGACUCUACCUAUAACUAACAUCUUGUUAUAAUAUUUUUCUCUUGCAUAUUUAUAAUCUCACAAACACAAUUUGCAACAAAAAAUUCCCUUUCACAAUCAAUGUGAGAUAAUCUUAAUAAUCUCUCCAUUUCAAACAUCGGGCUAUAGGGAAGAGCUUCUAUACUUGGCUCACAAUGAAGAUGUUGGCAACCUGGCUCUGAUACUACUUGUUGAAAUUUUUAAGCAGAACAAAUUUCACAACAAGAUCAACAUGAAAUAAAUUACAUACAAAAGUAAUAUUUAAUGUAGCUUGACUCAAUUGCAUCCAUGAAUGAGAGAGAAAAUCCAUUAUAAAAGUAAUUAGAAAGAGUACAAAAUACCAUAAACAAAUACUAAUCUCGAGCUCCUAAAACAAUCCCAGUUUCCAUACUCCUUAGUGUAUAACUUAUAAAAUAUCAUUCACUCCAUACAAUCAGUGUUUUUCUGAAUAAAUUUUUUUCACAUCUCUACAAACUUAUAUCCUAUAUAGAGAUCUCAUAACUCUCUAUCAUAAUUCUAAAAGUUAAUAUUUACUCUAUAUUUAUAAAACUCCGAACUCCAUUGUUGAUAACUAAUAAUUUCUAUUUACUAAAAACUCUUAUCCAUUAAAAAUAUUUAUCUUUAAAUAAACUUAAUUACCAAAUAUUGGAAUUCAAACUAAUUCUCAAUUAGAAUUUGAGCCAAUACUUAACAUCUUCUUGCCUUAAUUGAUGGAGAAUAUUGUUGCAUGCAUGCUAAAAUAACGGAUGGUUUACAAUGUAAUAAAGACAGUUCCUCUUCUAGCAACAAACAUUUUUGCAUUAAACUUUGAAUUUAACAUUUUGUUAAUUGUCCUAGUGAAUUAGUAAGUGAAUAUAUUGUGCUUGUUUUCAAUCUUGAAUGUUUGGGUAGCUUAUAUAUGUUUCAAAUCCCAUCCAAUGUGAGAAUAUUUAUAAAGUUUUUCAAGGAGUUUAAUACAAUUCAAUAUGUAUAUUGUAAUAUACCAUUUUUAAGUUUUAGGAGAUAAAUGUUAAUUUGGGUUUAACUUAUCAAUAAUUAAGUCAAAUUAACAAUUUAGAUGCUAUAUAUAUAUAUAUAUACACACACACACACACAUAUAUAUAUAUAGGUAUAUAGUAGUUUGGAAGUCCUAUAUGAAAUUUCCUAGAAUGAAAGUCCAUCCUUUGAUGUUUAACUCUUUAAUGGUCUCAGAAGUUGACUUUGUUAUUAUUCUCCUAGCUUUACUCUUUUAUGUGGAGGAAAUAACUCCUUGAGAACCGAAUUAAUUAAAUGCAAUAAAUAAUAAUCUAUGUAAAAAAAUUUUAAACGAAGUCGUACUUUAGAAGUAUAAAAAAAUUAUAAAUAUUAAUAAAAUUUUAAUCUCAAAUUUAUUGAAUAUUAUUUUUAAUAAUAAUUAUAUAAAUUAAUUAGAUUAGAUUCGGAAUCUAAAAAGUUUUUAAGUUAAGAAAUAUGUGGUUUUAGAUAAAAGGAUUUUUAUCAAUAAUUCAUGCAAUCAAAUAAGUAAUUGAUCAAUACGAUAACUGUUGUGAUGGGUACUUAGACGUUUGAUUAAAAAAUAAAUAAAAUUAUUAUUAGAACACAAGCCGAGUUAGUUGUGAAAACUAUGCCCGUAAGCCCGACAAACGAAAAGUUCUAAACCCAACAAUGAGGCCUACUCAAAAGCACUACCCCAUUAACUCUAUUAACAUCUAGGCCACUUGAUCCAUCAAUUCGGGCGCACCAACCAGGUCCAAAAAUACCACAACAUCUAUAUGAUUUCGUGUAUACGACAAACAUAUACAUUUAAUAGACGAAUUGAUACUUAUAAAAAUCUUUUUGUAUUCGAGCAUAGUAGAGGGGAUGGAUUGCAUAGUCUGUUAAUAAAAUAUUAAAUUUUUAAUUUCAGUAAUUAUGAUUUAAAUUUUGAUAAUUUUAAAUAUAAAAAAAUUUCAAAAAAUGAGUUAAUAUAUUAAUAUCGUCUCUAACAAUUACUAUCCAACUUUAUUUCAAACUAAACUUUAUGAUUAAUUAGCACAAUAAUUUACAAGAAUAUUCAUGGCCAAAUUCAUACCACACCAAAUCAGUCCUUAGUCAUUGUCUCAUAAUUCACAAUAUCAGCCCUCUCGUAGCCUUCUGAAUAGUUUUCUUGUCUUUCAAAGAAAAAGUCAAAUUGUAUGCUCAUAUCUAUGAAAUUAGAGAUGGGGAAUCACAAUCAUUGUGGAAUAGAGAUAAGGGGAAUGGAUAUGUUCAUGAGGAAAUAUAUCUAGUUAGCAACAGCUCUAAGCUUAUCCCCCAAUUUGCAUCCUCAAAAAACCUUAACUGCUCGGUGUAUAUAGGAAGGGCCAUAAAUGGAGAGAUAAGGCAAUUGAAGGAAUGCAAUGCACUACCGGAAAUGCUUUGGCUGUAACCUAAGAAUCUAUCACAAAAAAACCUAUUCACGUCAUAGAUAAAAAUUAGUGACGGAAAUUUUAUAUAAUACAUACCUUUAAUUCAGAAUACCACUGCAAAUUUGUUCAAUUCUAUCACAAAUUUAAUGGCGAUUUUUUUCAUCAUAAAGAUUAUAAGUUCCAUCACAAUUAAUGUUUGAUCAAGUCGGAUAAUGUUUUUUGACGGAAAAGAAGAAGCAACAAAUAGCCAACCUCAACUACGUAGAAAAGACAACGAAACUCCCCUAUCUUUCUAAUCCUUUACCAUGUGCCAGGGUGCUGAAAGGGUAUCUAUUAGCCAAAGUUAUAAUCAUAUGAUAGAAGAAAAGCUAGGCAUUGUUCUAGAAAUGGCAUGGUUAGAUUAAGAGAAGAUCAAGGAAACCAUCUGGCUAUGAUAAGGAAAGGCAUUAGAUGAUAUUAGACCUUUAAAUUUUUUGUUUUCUCUCAUUUUCUCAUCAGCUCACGUCUCUGUCAAUUAAGAUUGAAAGGUACACUUGGUGAAGUCGUCCAAGACGUAAAAGGGAAAGGUGUUGCAUUCGAAAGGGACACUCUCGCUUGCUUUGGGGCUCGUCAAGCAGCCAUUGCCAAACUGUAUGUAGCUUUGAAGUUCGAACCCACCCGCAUAGAGUAGGAAAGGAAAUAUUUCUUCCUGGGGUUUUUCGGUGGUUAAUGGCCUCAACAGCUAUGACAUUACCAAUCACUUAAAUUAUUGACCAGAUUGCAACCUGUUUGGCUUAAUGAAUUCCAACCUGAUUUAGCAAAAAAAUAAUUACCAAUCACUUAAAAUUUUUAAUUACGCAUUUUUAUCACAUACUUUUUAAACAAUAUUAUUUUUUUCAAACUUAAACCUUUUCCAACUGUAACAUCAAUGCCAAACUAAUCCUUAAAAACAUUGAUAAGACAGACAUGGUGAGAUUGCUACUUGGUCAACUCUUACAUACGGUGUACUUAUUUAUUGGUCAAACAUUUGAUUUUUCGUGCUGCAGUGAUCAUAGCCACCUAAAAUCUAUUUUAUGUAAUAAAACAAGAACAAGAAAGUACCUUCUCCAAUACCCCUAGUCCUAGCCAUCUUUCGUAUAAAAAAAUUCCUUCUAUAAUUAUUAAUAUACAAAAGAAAAAAGUGUGAAAUGAACUUCUAGAACUUAGAAAAGGCCAAGGAACUGGUUCGCUAUCAGCUUUCCUAAUAAAGAGAUAUAUUAGUCAAUGAUCAUAUAGAUACAGUUCACAGGUUAUAACAAAGCUGAAAACCAUUCUAUCUGGUGGUGCUAUAUUUGACACAAUCUACAGUGUCUUUUUCCAUAGGUUUUUUUUAAGUGUUUGAACAAUCUCAUCAGGCAUCGAACUUGUAAACUUCCUGGUUCUUUUCAAUUUUCAAACAAAAAUUUUAGUUAAUUUAAUAGUACAUAUUUAGGGAUGAAAAUGGAUAGUAAAUAAACGGAUAUCAAUUAUUAUCCGAUUCAUUUAUAUUGAAUUUGAAUAGUUAUAAAUAAAUAAUUAACGAAUUCGAAUAAAAUAUUUAAUAUUCGUGACGGAUUUGGAAUGAUAUGGAUAGUGUCUUUGAAUAUCUAAUAUUUAACUUUGUUUAAAUUUUAUUGAAUAGUAAUGAAUAUGAUAUCUGAAUCCAUUAUUUAUUUACAUAUGUAAAAUAUAUAAAAUUUUUAUAUUUGUAGAAAGUUUCAAAUAUUAAAAAAUAACUUUUAUUUAUUAUUAAUUAAGACUGAACUUGAAUUUUAAAUUAAAUUCUUGCUUGUUUUAUAUUUUAAUAAAAAAAUUUAAAUAAACAACUAUUUUAACAGAUUCAAAUAUUUAAAUUAAUAUUGUUUAUUAAACAGAUUCAAAUUUAGAUAAUAAUAUUAAACUUAAAUAAAUAUUUAAACAAAUUCAGAUAUUAUAAAUAUUAAAUAGAUUCAGAUAUAGAUAUCUAAAAAAUAGCAAAUAUCCACUCCAUUUCUAUUCCUAUAUAUAUUUACAAUUUUUGCCAAAAAAAUCCCAUGUUAAAAGGAUUUUAGUAGGUUUUGUCUAUGAAAUUAAACACUUAUUUGUACUUAAUAAUUUUAAACAUGAUACAUGAUAAAAAUAUAUAUGAAAAGAAUAUGAAAAUAACAUAAUUUAAAAUUUUAAUAAAAAUUAUAUAUAAAUUUUAUAAAAUAUAUAUAUUUGUAUUUAGCAUAUCUAUAUAAAUUAUGAUAUAAUUUUUUUUAUUUUAUACAUAUUAAAUAUAAAAUAACCAAACACAAAUACACGAAUUUAUCCAUGCAACAUGCAUAUUUACCAAAUGGAUUUGGAUAGAAAAUAUAUAUAUAUAUUUAUUUAUUUAUUUAUUUGCAUGGAGUCAGGCUAUUGUGUUUGAUUUGUUCUAUCGGUAAUUUCCAUAACUAUUCCUGCAUUAUAGUUGAUGAAUAAGUGCGUUUUCAGCUUGCACAUUAAAGAAUUAUCUGAGCGCCGCAGCCCACAUUUGAAAAUUUCUUGUCACCUUGCUUGCACAGUGAAGAAAAUAGAGCAGAAAAAACUGAAAAGGUCAGCCUCUUAAACCUAUAAUCUCCAUGGUCAAACCUGAAAUUUUCCCUAUAAAUAACAGUUUCAUGGUCCUAAGCUGAAACAAACAAGCUAAUUGCAUUAUAUCAUCAUUAGUUUCAACAAUGUCUUCUUCAAGAUUUGCCUCCCUUCUUCAUCUGUUAACCUUUGCUUUCCUUCUCCAAACAGCUUUUGGAGUUGACCCUCUCUUCCAUUUUUGUUCAAACUCUGCAGGGAAUUUCACUGCCUAUGACACUUAUGAAGGAAACUUAAACAAACUUACCGGUUACCUCUCUAUUCAAGCUCCUCUCCCAGGUUUUGGCCUCGGCAUUCUAGGGCAGGAGCCGAACCAAGCAUUUGGGCUUGCCCUUUGUAGAGGCGAUGUGUCAACCCCAGAUUGCAAAACCUGUGUUGUUGAAGCAGGCAGUGAAAUCCGCAAACGCUGCCCUUACAACAGAGGUGCAAUUAUCUGGUACGAUAACUGUCUUUUGAAGUAUUCAAACACAGAAUUCUUCGGCCAGAUUGAUAACCAGAACAAGUUCUACAUGUUGAAUUCGAAUUCUGUGAGCGAUCCCGUUUCAUUCAAUCAGAAGACUAAGCAACUGCU
rnacentral:lncRNA from 1 species